CCGGCGAUGUCCGAAUGGGGAAACCCAGUGCAAUUCGUUGCACUAUCGUUAACUGAAUACAUAGGUUAACGAGGCGAACCGGGGGAACUGAAACAUCUAAGUACCCCGAGGAAAAGAAAUCAACCGAGAUUCCCCCAGUAGCGGCGAGCGAACGGGGAGCAGCCCAGAGUCUGAAUCAGCUUGUGUGUUAGUGGAACGGUCUGGAAAGUCCGACGGUACAGGGUGAUAGUCCCGUACACCAAAAUGCACAGGCUGUGAACUCGAAGAGUAGGGCGGGACACGUGGUAUCCUGUCUGAAUAUGGGGGGACCAUCCUCCAAGGCUAAAUACUCCUGACUGACCGAUAGUGAACCAGUACCGUGAGGGAAAGGCGAAAAGAACCCCGGCGAGGGGAGUGAAAAAGAACCUGAAACCGUGUACGUACAAGCAGUGGGAGCACCUUCGGGUGUGACUGCGUACCUUUUGUAUAAUGGGUCAGCGACUUAUAUUCUGUAGCAAGGUUAACCGUAUAGGGGAGCCGCAGGGAAACCGAGUCUUAACUGGGCGUUAAGUUGCAGGGUAUAGACCCGAAACCCGGUGAUCUAGCCAUGGGCAGGUUGAAGGUUGGGUAACACUAACUGGAGGACCGAACCGACUAAUGUUGAAAAAUUAGCGGAUGACUUGUGGCUGGGGGUGAAAGGCCAAUCAAACCGGGAGAUAGCUGGUUCUCCCCGAAAGCUAUUUAGGUAGCGCCUCGUGAAUUCAUCUUCGGGGGUAGAGCACUGUUUCGGCUAGGGGGUCAUCCCGACUUACCAACCCGAUGCAAACUACGAAUACCGAAGAAUGUUAUCACGGGAGACACACGGCGGGUGCUAACGUCCGUCGUGAAGAGGGAAACAACCCAGACCGCCAGCUAAGGUCCCAAAGUCAUGGUUAAGUGGGAAACGAUGUGGGAAGGCACAGACAGCCAGGAUGUUGGCUUAGAAGCAGCCAUCAUUUAAAGAAAGCGUAAUAGCUCACUGGUCGAGUCGGCCUGCGCGGAAGAUGUAACGGGGCUAAACCAUGCACCGAAGCUGCGGCAGCGACACUAUGUGUUGUUGGGUAGGGGAGCGUUCUGUAAGCCUGCGAAGGUGUGCUGUGAGGCAUGCUGGAGGUAUCAGAAGUGCGAAUGCUGACAUAAGUAACGAUAAAGCGGGUGAAAAGCCCGCUCGCCGGAAGACCAAGGGUUCCUGUCCAACGUUAAUCGGGGCAGGGUGAGUCGACCCCUAAGGCGAGGCCGAAAGGCGUAGUCGAUGGGAAACAGGUUAAUAUUCCUGUACUUGGUGUUACUGCGAAGGGGGGACGGAGAAGGCUAUGUUAGCCGGGCGACGGUUGUCCCGGUUUAAGCAUGUAGGCUGGUUGUCCAGGCAAAUCCGGAUAAUCAAGGCUGAGGUGUGAUGACGAGGCACUACGGUGCUGAAGUAACAAAUGCCCUGCUUCCAGGAAAAGCCUCUAAGCAUCAGGUAACAUCAAAUCGUACCCCAAACCGACACAGGUGGUCAGGUAGAGAAUACCAAGGCGCUUGAGAGAACUCGGGUGAAGGAACUAGGCAAAAUGGUGCCGUAACUUCGGGAGAAGGCACGCUGGUGUGUAGGUGAAG
rnacentral:rRNA from 1 species